GCUUCAACAAAACAAACAUCUGGUGUUGGGACAAAGAUACAAACAUCUUAUAAUGCAACUAACAGUGUGAUAGCAUUAAUAUGCAUUCACCAUCUCAUAUAUCUUCCCAUGAGCAUCCUCCAUCUAAAUCUCCUUACAACUACCGAUAAGUCAAUUUUCAUUUUUUAAAACAUAAAAGCUCACUUGCUUCAUUUUAAACUCAUUGUAAGAAGAACCACAAACAACUUUAAAGACUUCAGCAAAGUGCCACUUCUAGCAAAGCAUGGUAUCUUUAAGAGUCGAAGCAACACAAAUUGUCAUUCAUAUGUUGUAAUGCCUUGUCUUAUAAGGCUCAUACGAACAAGUUUACAAAUCGUUUCAUAACAUCUUUUCUCAUACACAACCAUAUCCAGCCCUCCUCCCUUAUUCCAUUAAGGUGUCAAUCCUCUAAUACACGGAUGAUAGUGGCAUAUUAUUUAUUGUUUGAUGAUCAAUUAUUCUCUUUAGUUGCCUAUCCUUAUCAAUUCAGUUAUGCCAUCCAAAAAACUAAGUGCAUUUCACGGGUUAUCUCCUUAUCGAUCCAGUUGCAUAAACAGAAACCAUGAAAGGCCUUCCACGGUUCAUUUUUAUUUCUAAUAGAACACAAAUUUAUAUCCAACAUUCUAGGAAAUAAGAAUUAAUUCUCAAUGUAUGCCUAAAUUGAAUAUUCCUAGUUGGAUUAGUAUAGUAUCUGAGAUGCUGAAAAAAAUGAAUACAAGAGAGAGGAUUAGUACCACUAAUACAAAGCAUCACUCAAUUACGAGAGCAUGCUUGUGGAGAUCUCUAUAAAAUGUUCACGUAGAGAGAUGUAAUCACUUGAUCUAUGUUGCAGUUCUCUCUAAAAGUUGUAACAAAAACUCACCAAAUCUGAAAACAACAAUGUAAUUAGCUUGAAAUGGUGAUCGCCUAAUCCAGGUUAUGAUCAGAAGAAAAAAGCAAGUGAAAGAUGUGUAAUAAAAAGUACACAUAUUUAUUGUGUGCAUUGAUAAUCAACCCACAAAAUUGUCGCUAAACAUUCGUUGUAUCACAUCUUAUUAUAGUUUACUUGAUCUUAGGUAUUGAAAUACAUAGGUGAGAAAAGGGAGAGGGGGGGGGGGGGGAAAAAGGGCUGGGCCUGGAAGGGAAAANNNNNNNNNNNNNNNNNNNNNNNNNNNNNNNNNNNNNNNNNNUGGUCGUGGAGGCAGCAAGGGUGGGAGAGGUGGGGGGGGGAAAGGGGGGGGGGGGGGGGGGGGGGACAAAUGGCUGGUCUGUCAGCGAUAACAGAUAUAAAGUGCACCAAAUACUUAAUAAAAUUCCAUGAAGCAUUACUUACUCUAAAAUGGUGAACACCAACAUUGCCAUCGAAACUAAGCACAACAUGAUUAGAUACUUUAAUAUAAUGUUAAGAAGAAGCAACCAAAAAAGUUAUGUCAAUCAAGAAUAAGAACUAAAAUUGCACUUCAUGUGACAUUGACACAGAGAGGAUGCAAUCCAUAACAAGAAACCCAAACAUUGAUUAAGUUGACAUUUACCUUCAUCACAUCAUUUUGACAUAUAUACUAAAAUUACAGGUGUGUGUUAACUGGAUUAACCCUAUUUCAACUAAGCUUUUGGCAAAGAUGCAGCAUUCCUUGACGAAGUACAUUCAUGCCUCUCUAAUAUGGAUGGAAGGGACACUAUCUCUUUCAAGACCUAUUCUCCAAAAGAAGGCUAAGUACGUGAUGACACAUUCCUUUUAAGAUAUUUGGACUCACAAAUUAAUACUGAACAUUUCACAGAAAAGAGAUUUAUGACUUUAAGGGGGCCAAGAUAUAAUGCCAUAGAUUUAAUCCUAUAACCAUGGAUAUGCCAGAUACUAAAAGACAAACAUUUCACAUACACAACCAAAUAUAAAUUUAAGAGUUAUCCUAAAGGAAACAUACAAUCAGGAGAAAAGUAAACUCAAACAUAUUUUAAGCAUCAGGACAUUUAUUUUCAGUUAAAAGAUUAACGUAAAUUCAAACAACUAAGAUUGGGGUAAGAAACUUUAAAAGUAUUAACAUAUAUGAAUUUAGGAUAACAUAUCUGGACGUUUUCCAUAGAAUACUUAGCGC
rnacentral:lncRNA from 1 species